rnacentral:rRNA from 1 species
AUUGAACGCUGGCGGCAGGCCUAACACAUGCAAGUCGAGCGGAGCGGCGGACGGGUGAGUAAUGCCUAGGAAUCUGCCUGGUAGUGGGGGAUAACGUCCGGAAACGGGCGCUAAUACCGCAUACUAUCAGAUGAGCCUAGGUCGGAUUAGCUAGUUGGUGGGGUAAAGGCCUACCAAGGCGACGAUCCGUAACUGGGCUGAGAGGAUGAUCAGUCACACUGGAACGGAGACACGGUCCAGCCUCCUAGGGUAGGCAGCAGUGGGGAAUAUUGGACAAUGGUCGAAAGCCUGUGCCAGCCAUGCCGCGUGUGUGAAGAAGGUCUUCGGAUUGUAAAGCACUUUAAGUUGGGAGUCGUUACCGACAGAAUACGCACCGGCUAACUACGUGCCAGCAGCCGGGUAAUUC